rnacentral:rRNA from 1 species
GCACAACGCGAAGAACCUUACCAGGCCUUGACAUGCAGAGAACUUUCCAGAGAUGGAUUGGUGCCUUCGGGAACUCUGACACAGGUGCUGCAUGGCUGUCGUCAGCUCGUGUCGUGAGAUGUUGGGUUAAGUCCCGUAACGAGCGCAACCCUUGUCCUUAGUUACCAGCACGUUAUGGUGGGCACUCUAAGGAGACUGCCGAUGACAAACCGGAGGAAGGUGGGGAUGACGUCAAAUCAUCAUGGCCCUUACGGCCUGGGCUACACACGUGCUACAAUGGUCGGUACAGAGGGUUGCCAAGCCGCGAGGUGGAGCUAAUCUCACAAAACCGAUCGUAGUCCGGAUCGCAGUCUGCAACUCGACUGCGUGAAGUCGGAAUCGCUAGUAAUCGCGAAUCAGAAUGUCGCGGUGAAUACGUUCCCGGGUCUUGUACACACCG